rnacentral:rRNA from 1 species
AGCUCCAAUAGCGUAUAUUAAAGUUGUUGCAGUUAAAAAGCUCGUAGUUGAAUUUCUGCCCGCACUCGCCGGUCUCCCAAUGGGUUGUACUAGGCGCAGUCGGGCAUCCUUGUGGAGAUGGCGCGCAUUGAUUUGUGCGUUCGGAUCUGCAUCAUUUACUGUGAAAAAAUUAGAGUGUUUAAAGCAGGCGUUUGCUUGAAUACAUUAGCAUGGAAUAAUAAGAUAGGACUUCGGUCUAUUUUGUUGGUUGCGAACCGAGGUAAUGAUUAAUAGGGAUAGUUGGGGGUAUUCAUAUUUAAUUGUCAGAGGUGAAAUUCUUGGAUUUAUGAAAGAUGAACAACUGCGAAAGCAUUUACCAAGGAUGUUUUCA